rnacentral:rRNA from 1 species
UGAAUAUGGGGGGACCAUCCUCCAAGGCUAAAUACUCCUGACUGACCGAUAGUGAACCAGUACCGUGAGGGAAAGGCGAAAAGAACCCCGGCGAGGGGAGUGAAAAAGAACCUGAAACCGUGUACGUACAAGCAGUGGGAGCCUCUUUUAUGGGGUGACUGCGUACCUUUUGUAUAAUGGGUCAGCGACUUAUAUUCUGUAGCAAGGUUAACCGAAUAGGGGAGCCGAAGGGAAACCGAGUCUUAACUGGGCGUUAAGUUGCAGGGUAUAGACCCGAAACCCGGUGAUCUAGCCAUGGGCAGGUUGAAGGUUGGGUAACACUAACUGGAGGACCGAACCGACUAAUGUUGAAAAAUUAGCGGAUGACUUGUGGCUGGGGGUGAAAGGCCAAUCAAACCGGGAGAUAGCUGGUUCUCCCCGAAAGCUAUUUAGGUAGCGCCUCGUGAAUUCAUCUCCGGGGGUAGAGCACUGUUUCGGCAAGGGGGUCAUCCCGACUUACCAACCCGAUGCAAACUGCGAAUACCGGAGAAUGUUAUCACGGGAGACACACGGCGGGUGCUAACGUCCGUCGUGAAGAGGGAAACAACCCAGACCGCCAGCUAAGGUCCCAAAGUCAUGGUUAAGUGGGAAACGAUGUGGGAAGGCCCAGACAGCCAGGAUGUUGGCUUAGAAGCAGCCAUCAUUUAAAGAAAGCGUAAUAGCUCACUGGUCGAGUCGGCCUGCGCGGAAGAUGUAACGGGGCUAAACCAUGCACCGAAGCUGCGGCAGCGACGCUUAUGCGUUGUUGGGUAGGGGAGCGUUCUGUAAGCCUGUGAAGGUGUACUGUGAGGUAUGCUGGAGGUAUCAGAAGUGCGAAUGCUGACAUAAGUAACGAUAAAGCGGGUGAAAAGCCCGCUCGCCGGAAGACCAAGGGUUCCUGUCCAACGUUAAUCGGGGCAGGGUGAGUCGACCCCUAAGGCGAGGCCGAAAGGCGUAGUCGAUGGGAAACAGGUUAAUAUUCCUGUACUUGGUGUUACUGCGAAGGGGGGACGGAGAAGGCUAUGUUGGCCGGGCGACGGUUGUCCCGGUUUAAGCGUGUAGGCUGGUUUUCCAGGCAAAUCCGGAAAAUCAAGGCUGAGGCGUGAUGACGAGGCACUACGGUGCUGAAGCAACAAAUGCCCUGCUUCCAGGAAAAGCCUCUAAGCAUCAGGUAACAUCAAAUCGUACCCCAAACCGACACAGGUGGUCAGGUAGAGAAUACCAAGGCGCUUGAGAGAACUCGGGUGAAGGAACUAGGCAAAAUGGUGCCGUAACUUCGGGAGAAGGCACGCUGAUAUGUAGGUGAAGCGACUUGCUCGUGGAGCUGAAAUCAGUCGAAGAUACCAGCUGGCUGCAACUGUUUAUUAAAAACACAGCACUGUGCAAACACGAAAGUGGACGUAUACGGUGUGACGCCUGCCCGGUGCCGGAAGGUUAAUUGAUGGGGUUAGCGGUAACGCGAAGCUCUUGAUCGAAGCCCCGGUAAACGGCGGCCGUAACUAUAACGGUCCUAAGGUAGCGAAAUUCCUUGUCGGGUAAGUUCCGACCUGCACGAAUGGCGUAAUGAUGGCCAGGCUGUCUCCACCCGAGACUCAGUGAAAUUGAACUCGCUGUGAAGAUGCAGUGUACCCGCGGCAAGACGGAAAGACCCCGUGAACCUUUACUAUAGCUUGACACUGAACAUUGAGCCUUGAUGUGUAGGAUAGGUGGGAGGCUUUGAAGUGUGG